GCUGGGCAGGUAUCCCCUUCCUGAAGCUGCAUACUCUGUCACAGAAGACAACCACCCCUGAUGGAGGAGGACCGUUCCUCUGUCAAGUGUGUACAAGUAGCUCCCCUGCUAGAACCUUCAAACAAGCUCUCAAGUUUAUUCCACAUCUAAGUAUUGGAAGUGUUAGGAACGAGCAUACAUUCGUUUGUAUUUAC
rfam:Cavia porcellus supercont2_3 genomic scaffold, whole genome shotgun sequence.